rnacentral:rRNA from 1 species
UGCAGUCGAGCGGAAACGACUUAACUGAACCUUCGGGGAACGUUAAGGGCGUCGAGCGGCGGACGGGUGAGUAAUGCCUGGGAAUAUGCCUUAGUGUGGGGGAUAACUAUUGGAAACGAUAGCUAAUACCGCAUAAUGUCUUCGGACCAAAGAGGGGGACCUUCGGGCCUCUCGCGCUAAGAUUAGCCCAGGUGAGAUUAGCUAGUUGGUGAGGUAAGAGCUCACCAAGGCGACGAUCUCUAGCUGGUCUGAGAGGAUGAUCAGCCACACUGGAACUGAGACACGGUCCAGACUCCUACGGGAGGCAGCAGUGGGGAAUAUUGCACAAUGGGCGAAAGCCUGAUGCAGCCAUGCCGCGUGUAUGAAGAAGGCCUUCGGGUUGUAAAGUACUUUCAGUAGGGAGGAAGGUGUUGUAGUUAAUAGCUGCAGCAUUUGACGUUACCUACAGAAGAAGCACCGGCUAACUCCGUGCCAGCAGCCGCGGUAAUACGGAGGGUGCGAGCGUUAAUCGGAAUUACUGGGCGUAAAGCGCAUGCAGGUGGUUCAUUAAGUCAGAUGUGAAAGCCCGGGGCUCAACCUCGGAACCGCAUUUGAAACUGGUGAACUAGA